rnacentral:lncRNA from 1 species
GCGUGCAUGCGAAGUAGAGGGUCUGUACUUUCAGGCCUCCAUGAAGGUUGAUUCUAUAUUUUAGAGAUUUGAUCUUCAGUUUUGCUAUUAUUUAGGUAAGGAUUUGAUCCUUAUUCAUUUAGAUUUGUAAAAAAUUUUUAGAUGCAACCUGGGCUAUCCAAAGAAAAAUAGUUUUCCUUCCUUUCAAUUGGUACCAGAGCAGGUUUUUGAUUCAUGCAUACAUAACUGAAUUUUUUUAAAUUAUUUAUAUAUUGUAUGUGAUUAGAAUUUUAUGUUAGAUAUUAAAUCUAAUUUAAAUCUAUUUAAAUAAAAUUUUUGAUCUGAUUGGAUUAGAUGAACC